AUACUUACCUGGCAGGGGAGGCACCAUGAUCAUAAAGGUGGCUUUCCCAUGGUGAGACUCAUCCGUUGCACUCCAGGUGUGCUGACCCCUGCUAUUUCUCCAAAUGUGGGAAACUCGCAGGCAUAAUAUCUACUUAUUGUCAAAUGAAAAGUGACAG